ACUUUUCUAGUAUAAAAGAUACAAAUGGCCUCCAACCAUUUAAUCCUAGUUUAAAUCUAGGGAAAAGUA
rnacentral:tRNA from 1 species